rnacentral:rRNA from 1 species
GACAGAGGUUGCAAACGUUGUUCGGAAUUACUGGGCAUAAAGCGCACGUAGGCGGUCCGUUAAGUCAUGUGUGAAAUCCCCCGGCUCAACCGGGGAAUUGCGCCUGAUACUGGCGGGCUAGAGGUCGAUAGGGGUGAGCGGAACUCCAGGUGGAGCGGUGAAAUGCGUAGAUAUCUGGAGGAACACCGGUGGCGAAAGCGGCUCACUGGAUCGAACUGACGCUGAGGUGCGAAAGCUAGGGUAGCAAACGGG